GGCUCUUUGGCGAUGUGGUCAGCACGUCUGUCUCUUACCUGGGAAUCUGGGGUUCAAUUCCCCACCUGGGCCC